GUAUGUUACUCGCUCCGUAGAGCUCGAUUAGACAUGCUUCGUUAACAGGCGUUUGGUUACAAAAGGGAGUGAACGCUUCCCCCCCUUGAAGGGGACACGCUCGCUGGGUGCACAGGUGUUGACGAACCCCACGGCAAGGUGACUUGCGUCGCCCACGUUUGAGCCGUGUGGUAUGUUGUUGACAUUCAUUAAUGAUCCUUCCGCAGGUUCACCUACGGAAA
rnacentral:misc_RNA from 1 species